AUUCAAAACAUCUGGGGCUGCACGGUGGCUCAUGCCUGUAAUCCCAGCAGUUUGGGAGGUCAACAUGGGUGAAUCACUUGAGGUCAGAAGUUUGGGACCAGCCCAGCCAAUGUGGCCCUGAUCAGGAAGUGAAGACAACAUGACUGUGGAGAAGAGAGCCGGGAAGGGAAGAAGCUCAAUAAUGAGUGCAUUCUAGGCCAGCUUCCCCAGAGCAUCAAGGUUGAUGGAAGAACAUGAGGGGAAGUGGCAUGAGAGCAAGCCCGUGCUCUCCUCUACAGAGACAGAAGCCAGACAUGCCUUUUCCAUGUGCUGAUCUCCAAGUCCCAGCUAGUAGGUCACAUGACAUCACAGUCCUGCUCUUCCUCAAUGGGACUAAGGGCUGAGGGAUCAGUGAGUGCAGAGGUGCCAGCCCAUUUCCACUCCUCCUUAGCGCCAGAAAACCCUGACUGUGACAGCCAUCCCUGAGCCUGCUGGCCAGCUCCCUAGCGGGACAACAUUGAAAGGGAAAGGGUGAAUUCGCUUGUUGUAAGUUUGAAGACUCAACAUGAAACUCACAAAACGCAGCCACAGCAGUGGUUUCAUUAUCAAAACUCCAGCAAGCAUUCCAGCCAGACUAAUUCCCCGCUGGAUUCACUUAAUGUAGAUCCUCACAAACGAUUACAUGUAAACGUGAGAGGCACCCAGUUUGGAUUCCAGACCAGAAGAAAUCCAGGAAUGGAUUUAAAAAGGAAAGCUGGUUCCCAUCUCCCUGGAGAAUUUAUCUUUAUUAAAGAUGCAAAGGAUCCAGUGGAGGUCUCUGAGGCCCUGGGAGAUGGUAGAGCCACACCAUGAAGGUGCCUGGGUCCCUGAAUGACUGCAUGGAGCUCACUCUACAUUGGACUGUGACACAAGCAAGAAAGGUAGACACUUAGGAGUGGAAUUGCUGAGUCAUACAGUAAUUCUAUGUUUAACAUUUUGAGGAGCUGCCAAACUGUUUCCAAAAUGGCUGCAACAUUCUAUAUUUCCAUCAGCAAGAAGGGCCCAUGUGGCAAGGAACUAAGGGCAGUCUCUGGCCAAAAGCCCACAAGUAACUGAAUUCUGCCAAUAACCAUGAGUUUGGAAGUGGAUCCUUCCCCAUUCGAGUCUCAGAUGAGUCCCCAGCCCUGGCCAACAUCUUCAUGUGCUGUGAGAGACCAUUAAGCAGAGGACCCAGCUAAGCUCUGCCCAGAUGCUCAAUCCACAGAAAAAGAUACUAAGUGUGUGUUGUUUUAAGCUGCUACAUUUGCAGUGGUUUGAUAUGCAGCAAUAGAUAACUGAUACUGCUGUUAAUUGCUUUCUAUUACAAUCAGCUGGAAUAACUGCCCUUGUGCCUACAAUCAGAGAUGUAUUUUGGGAUCAAUUCCCAGACCUGAGAUUGUUCAGUCUAAGGGUAAGGAUAUUUAAUGUGGAAAAAUAACACUAAAUUGUCCUCCAAAAAUAUUAUCAAGUGACAAUCAUGCAAACAGUAUGAAAGUUCCUACUUCUCUCCAUGUUCUUGCCAAAUGAAGUGUCAUUGAUCAUUGAAAAAAUAUCAGUUUGAGAAAAAUCAGUACUGCAUUGCUUUGAUUGCAUUUUCCUGAUCACUUAUCAGGGUGAGCAUCUUUUUAACGAAUCCCUUGGCCAUUUAUUUUCCUCUUUCUUUUGAGACUUCUCUCUUGAUAUUUUUAGCUUUUAUCCUAUUUUAAUUGGAUUUCAAUUGGAUUGAACAACUAGAAUGAUAGAAUGAUAUCUGGGGGGCACACAAUGGCCAUUGGUGAUGCUGCUGUUGAUUACCCAAAGUGCUAUCCCAUUUCUUCCUGUGUAUUUACUACUAUUUCUCUUGCAGUUAAUAAGCAAUUUAUGGGAAGAUUCUUUGAGACCAUUCAAAUAUCCUGCACCUCAUUAAAAUAUCCCCCUGGAUUUAGCAGCCUUUGAUGAUUCUUGCCUGAACAAAACUUUAUUAUGGUAGAUGUAAAAUGAAGAUUUUCAUUUCUAGCACUUCUUCCACAUUUACCAGCUACAUUCAGCCUUCUUGUGGAUAAGACUCUCCCCUUUCUCCCAAAUGUUUAUUGUUUUUAUUAGUAUGGACUCACGAUUUCCUGUUCUUCUCAAUGGCCUAUAAUUUAUUACUAUCUUUAAUUAUAUUAGUGCUCAAAUUUUCCCAGUUUGGCCAGUGGGAUCCCCUCCAAGUUGGCUAUUAUUUCCUUGUGACAUACCCACUUUUUCUUUCUUUCUCUUUCUUUUUCUUUCCUUUUAAAACUCACUUCUUUACUUCCUGCUCCAGCCCUGGAAUCAGCCAUUUCUCUGAAAAACUGUGGUUCUUUCAAGUGGACAAAGGUAUUAGAGACCAAAAUUUGGGCACAAGAUAUGCACUUUAACAAGGACCCACUUUAAGUGCAGUUUAGUGAAUUUGAAUGAAUGCAUGAACUUCUGUAACUACUACCACAAUCAAGAUAUAGAGUUUCUGUCACCUCUCAAAGCCUCCUUUUCUUGCUUGCUCAUAUGCAAUUACCUCUGUCCAAAAUGACCCUUUCCCUUUCCUCUACACACUUGGCAAAGCCAUGAUUGAACAUUUAUUCCUUCUUAGAUUUUGUUCCAUUUUCCUCAGCAAAGGUUCUUUGUUUCCUCUUCUUCAUGCUCACAAAAGAGAGAGUAAAAGUGCUUGCUCAACAGUUCUUCAACUGCUCUAAUAAAGAUUGAUUCUCUUACCA
rnacentral:lncRNA from 1 species